rnacentral:rRNA from 1 species
GUGAGGAAUAUUGGUCAAUGGGCGAGAGCCUGAACCAGCCAAGUAGCGUGAAGGAUGAAGGUCCUACGGAUUGUAAACUUCUUUUAUAAGGGAAUAAAACCUCCCACGUGUGGGAGCUUGUAUGUACCUUAUGAAUAAGCAUCGGCUAACUCCGUGCCAGCAGCCGCGGUAAUACGGAGGAUGCGAGCGUUAUCCGGAUUUAUUGGGUUUAAAGGGAGCGCAGACGGGUCGUUAAGUCAGCUGUGAAAGUUUGGGGCUCAACCUUAAAAUUGCAGUUGAUACUGGCGUCCUUGAGUGCGGUUGAGGUGUGCGGAAUUCGUGGUGUAGCGGUGAAAUGCUUAGAUAUCACGAAGAACUCCGAUUGCGAAGGCAGCACACUAAGCCGUAACUGACGUUCAUGCUCGAAAGUGUGGGUAUCAAACAGGAUUAGAAACCCCUGUAGUCC